rnacentral:rRNA from 1 species
CUACACAUGCAAGUCGAGCGGAUGAGAAGAGCUUGCUCCUCGAUUCAGCGGCGGACGGGUGAGUAAUACCUAGGAAUCUGCCUGGUAGUGGGGGACAACGUUUCGAAAGGAACGCUAAUACCGCAUACGUCCUACGGGAGAAAGCAGGGGACCUUCGGGCCUUGCGCUAUCAGAUGAGCCUAGGUCGGAUUAGCUAGUUGGUGAGGUAAUGGCUCACCAAGGCUACGAUCCGUAACUGGUCUGAGAGGAUGAUCAGUCACACUGGAACUGAGACACGGUCCAGACUCCUACGGGAGGCAGCAGUGGGGAAUAUUGGACAAUGGGCGAAAGCCUGAUCCAGCCAUGCCGCGUGUGUGAAGAAGGUCUUCGGAUUGUAAAGCACUUUAAGUUGGGAGGAAGGGCAGUAAGCGAAUACCUUGCUGUUUUGACGUUACCGACAGAAUAAGCACCGGCUAACUCUGUGCCAGCAGCCGCGGUAAUACAGAGGGUGCAAGCGUUAAUCGGAAUUACUGGGCGUAAAGCGCGCGUAGGUGGUUCGUUAAGUUGGAUGUGAAAUCCCCGGGCUCAACCUGGGAACUGCAUCCAAAACUGGCGAGCUAGAGUAGGGCAGAGGGUGGUGGAAUUUCCUGUGUAGCGGUGAAAUGCGUAGAUAUAGGAAGGAACACCAGUGGCGAAGGCGACCACCUGGG